rnacentral:rRNA from 1 species
AUUGAACGCUGGCGGCAGGCCUAACACAUGCAAGUCGAGCGAGCGGCGGACGGGUGAGUAAUGUAUGGGGACUGCCCGAUAGAGGGGGAUAACUACUGGAAACGGUGGCUAAUACCGCAUACUGCAGGAUACCCCAUAGGGGAUUAGCUAGUAGGUCAGGGAAUGGCUUACCCAGGCGACCAUCCCUAGCUGGUCUGAGAGGAUGUUCAGCCACACUGGAACUGAGACAAGGCCCAGACUCCUACGGAGGCAGCAGUGGGGAAUAUUGCACAAUGGGCGCAAGCCUGAUGCAGCCAUGCCGCGUGUAUGAAGAAGGCCCUAGGGUUGUAAAGUACUUUCAGUCGGGAGGCGUUACCGACAGAAGAAGCACCGGCUAACUCCGUGCCAGCAGCCGCGGUAAUAC